GUGUUUGUUAAAUAGCCGCGGUAAUUUGACCGUGCAAAGGUAGCAUAAUCAUUUGUUCUUUAAUUUAGGACUUGUAUGAAUGGAUUUAUCGAAAAUUUUUCUUUCUUUAUUUUUUUUUGAGAAAUUGUAUUUUUUGUGAAGAUACAGAAAUUUUUGAAUAGGACAAGAAGACCCUUUGAGCUUUAUUGUAGCUUUUUUUUUUAAAUUGUAGAUCAAUUUGGUUGGGGUGACCGGGAAAGACUGAGGGAACUUUCUUUUUUUUUUUUGUGAACCAGUAUUACUGGGAUAUAGAACAAGUUACCGAAGGGAUAACAGCGUAAUUUUUUUUGAGAGUUCUUAUUAAAAAAAGAGAUUGCGACCUCGAUGUUGACUUAUGGUUUCUUUUUGGUGUAGCAGCUGAG
rnacentral:rRNA from 1 species